UACGUAGGGUGCGAGCGUUGUCCGGAAUUAUUGGGCGUAAAGAGCUUGUAGGCGGUUUGUCGCGUCUGCUGUGAAAAUCCGGGGGCUCAACCCCGGACUUGCAGUGGGUACGGGCAGACUAGAGUGUGGUAGGGGAGACUGGAAUUCCUGGUGUAGCGGUGAAAUGCGCAGAUAUCAGGAGGAACACCGAUGGCGAAGGCAGGUCUCUGGGCCACUACUGACGCUGAGAAGCGAAAGCAUGGGGAGCGAACAGG
rnacentral:rRNA from 1 species